rnacentral:rRNA from 1 species
ACCUGGAGAUAGCUGGUUCUCUCCGAAAUAGCUUUAGGGCUAGCCUCAAGUGAUGAUUAUUGGAGGUAGAGCACUGUUUGGACGAGGGGCCCCUCUCGGGUUACCGAAUUCAGACAAACUCCGAAUGCCAAUUAAUUUAACUUGGGAGUCAGAACAUGGGUGAUAAGGUCCGUGUUCGAAAGGGAAACAGCCCAGACCACCAGCUAAGGUCCCAAAAUAUAUGUUAAGUGGAAAAGGAUGUGGCGUUGCCCAGACAACUAGGAUGUUGGCUUAGAAGCAGCCAUCAUUUAAAGAGUGCGUAAUAGCUCACUAGUCGAGUGACACUGCGCCGAAAAUGUACCGGGGCUAAACAUAUUACCGAAGCUGUGGAUUGUCCUUUGGACAAUGGUAGGAGAGCGUUCUAAGGGCGUUGAAGCAUGAUCGUAAGGACAUGUGGAGCGCUUAGAAGUGAGAAUGCCGGUGUGAGUAGCGAAAGACGGGUGAGAAUCCCGUCCACCGAUUGACUAAGGUUUCCAGAGGAAGGCUCGUCCGCUCUGGGU